ACGAACGCUGGCGGCGUGCCUAAUACAUGCAAGUAGAACGCUGAAGAGAGGAGCUUGCUCUUCUUGGAUGAGUUGCGAACGGGUGAGUAACGCGUAGGUAACCUGCCUUGUAGCGGGGGAUAACUAUUGGAAACGAUAGCUAAUACCGCAUAACAAUGGAUGACACAUGUCAUUUAUUUGAAAGGGGCAAUUGUUCCACUACAAGAUGGACCUGCGUUGUAUUAGCUAGUAGGUGAGGUAAUGGCUCACCUAGGCGACGAUACAUAGCCGACCUGAGAGGGUGAUCGGCCACACUGGGACUGAGACACGGCCCAGACUCCUACGGGAGGCAGCAGUAGGGAAUCUUCGGCAAUGGGGGCAACCCUGACCGAGCAACGCCGCGUGAGUGAAGAAGGUUUUCGGAUCGUAAAGCUCUGUUGUAAGUCAAGAACGGGUGUGAGAGUGGAAAGUUCACACUGUGACGGUAGCUUACCAGAAAGGGACGGCUAACUACGUGCCAGCAGCCGCGGUAAUACGUAGGUCCCGAGCGUUGUCCGGAUUUAUUGGGCGUAAAGCGAGCGCAGGCGGUUUGAUAAGUCUGAAGUUAAAGGCUGUGGCUCAACCAUAGUUCGCUUUGGAAACUGUCAAACUUGAGUGCAGAAGGGGAGAGUGGAAUUCCAUGUGUAGCGGUGAAAUGCGUAGAUAUAUGGAGGAACACCGGUGGCGAAAGCGGCUCUCUGGUCUGUAACUGACGCUGAGGCUCGAAAGCGUGGGGAGCGAACAGGAUUAGAUACCCUGGUAGUCCACGCCGUAAACGAUGAGUGCUAGGUGUUGGAUCCUUUCCGGGAUUCAGUGCCGCAGCUAACGCAUUAAGCACUCCGCCUGGGGAGUACGACCGCAAGGUUGAAACUCAAAGGAAUUGACGGGGGCCCGCACAAGCGGUGGAGCAUGUGGUUUAAUACGAAGCAACGCGAAGAACCUUACCAGGUCUUGACAUCCCGAUGCUAUUUCUAGAGAUAGAAAGUUACUUCGGUACAUCGGUGACAGGUGGUGCAUGGUUGUCGUCAGCUCGUGUCGUGAGAUGUUGGGUUAAGUCCCGCAACGAGCGCAACCCCUAUUGUUAGUUGCCAUCAUUCAGUUGGGCACUCUAGCGAGACUGCCGGUAAUAAACCGGAGGAAGGUGGGGAUGACGUCAAAUCAUCAUGCCCCUUAUGACCUGGGCUACACACGUGCUACAAUGGUUGGUACAACGAGUUGCGAGUCGGUGACGGCGAGCUAAUCUCUUAAAGCCAAUCUCAGUUCGGAUUGUAGGCUGCAACUCGCCUACAUGAAGUCGGAAUCGCUAGUAAUCGCGGAUCAGCACGCCGCGGUGAAUACGUUCCCGGGCCUUGUACACACCGCCCGUCACACCACGAGAGUUUGUAACACCCGAAGUCGGUGAGGUAACCUUUUGGAGCCAGCCGCCUAAGGUGGGACAGAUGAUUGGGGUG
rnacentral:rRNA from 1 species